GAUGAACGCUGGCGGCGUGCCUAAUACAUGCAAGUCGAGCGAAUGGAUUGAGAGCUUGCUCUUAUGAAGUUAGCGGCGGACGGGUGAGUAACACGUGGGUAACCUGCCCAUAAGACUGGGAUAACUCCGGGAAACCGGGGCUAAUACCGGAUAACAUUUUGAACCGCAUGGUUCGAAAUUGAAAGGCGGCUUCGGCUGUCACUUAUGGAUGGACCCGCGUCGCAUUAGCUGGUUGGUGAGGUAACGGCUCACCAGGGCAACGAUGCGUAGCCGACCUGAGAGGGUGAUCGGCCGCACUGGGACUGAGACACGGCCCAGACUCCUACGGGAGGCAGCAGUAGGGAAUCUUCCGCAAUGGACGAAAGUCUGACGGAGCAACGCCGCGUGAGUGAUGAAGGCUUUCGGGUCGUAAAACUCUGUUGUUAGGGAAGAACAAGUGCUAGUUGAAUAAGCUGGCACCUUGACGGUACCUAACCAGAAAGCCACGGCUAACUACGUGCCAGCCGCCGCGGUAA
rnacentral:rRNA from 1 species